rnacentral:tRNA from 1 species
UCGAUCCUUCCGUCCCAG